GGGGAAACCUGAAUCUGCCCUGGGAGCAGCUGCGUGCGAGAGGCGCUUUGAAGGUGCCUGGCUGCUCCUCAUGAGGCAACGAUGGCACAGCAAUGAGUGGAGGAGAGACACUGGGUCUAUUAACAUCCAUUUGAGGAGGAGUGGUUGGUGCAAACUUGCACCUUACUGGUCACCAGCAAGCCUCACAAGACAGAGGUUAUUGAUCCUCUGGCCAAUGUACAGAUGUACAGCCUCAACUGGAACUUGUCUCAAACUAGAUGCUGUCAGUUUCAAUCACACAACACCAAUCUCUUGGAAAAUCCAUGUGAUUUCAUGGUGCAAGUCCAAAAAGAUGUGAAGAAGUUGACUCAUGAUACAUUUGGACUAUUUGGAGUUGUUGGUGGAGAUGAAUG